rnacentral:rRNA from 1 species
AGAGUUUGAUCCUGGCUCAGGAUGAACGCUGGCGGCGUGCUUAACACAUGCAAGUCGAACGGGAUCCAUCAGGCUUUGCUUGGUGGUGAGAGUGGCGAACGGGUGAGUAAUGCGUGACCGACCUGCCCCAUACACCGGAAUAGCUCCUGGAAACGGGUGGUAAUGCCGGAUGCUCCGACUCCUCGCAUGGGGUGUCGGGAAAGAUUUCAUCGGUAUGGGAUGGGGUCGCGUCCUAUCAGGUAGUCGGCGGGGUAACGGCCCACCGAGCCUACGACGGGUAGCCGGCCUGAGAGGGCGACCGGCCACAUUGGGACUGAGAUACGGCCCAGACUCCUACGGGAGGCAGCAGUGGGGAAUAUUGCACAAUGGGCGCAAGCCUGAUGCAGCGACGCCGCGUGCGGGAUGACGGCCUUCGGGUUGUAAACCGCUUUUGAUCGGGAGCAAGCCUUCGGGUGAGUGUACCUUUCGAAUAAGCACCGGCUAACUACGUGCCAGCAGCCGCGGUAAUACGUAGGGUGCAAGCGUUAUCCGGAAUUAUUGGGCGUAAAGGGCUCGUAGGCGGUUCGUCGCGUCCGGUGUGAAAGUCCAUCGCUUAACGGUGGAUCUGCGCCGGGUACGGGCGGGCUGGAGUGCGGUAGGGGAGACUGGAAUUCCCGGUGUAACGGUGGAAUGUGUAGAUAUCGGGAAGAACACCAAUGGCGAAGGCAGGUCUCUGGGCCGUUACUGACGCUGAGGAGCGAAAGCGUGGGGAGCGAACAGGAUUAGAUACCCUGGUAGUCCACGCCGUAAACGGUGGAUGCUGGAUGUGGGGCCCGUUCCACGGGUUCCGUGUCGGAGCUAACGCGUUGAGCAUCCCGCCUGGGGAGUACGGCCGCAAGGCUAAAACUCAAAGAAAUUGACGGGGGCCCGCACAAGCGGCGGAGCAUGCGGAUUAAUUCGAUGCAACGCGAAGAACCUUACCUGGGCUUGACAUGUUCCCGACAGCCGUAGAGAUAUGGCCUCCCUUCGGGGCGGGUUCACAGGUGGUGCAUGGUCGUCGUCAGCUCGUGUCGUGAGAUGUUGGGUUAAGUCCCGCAACGAGCGCAACCCUCGCCCUGUGUUGCCAGCACGUCAUGGUGGGAACUCACGGGGGACCGCCGGGGUCAACUCGGAGGAAGGUGGGGAUGACGUCAGAUCAUCAUGCCCCUUACGUCCAGGGCUUCACGCAUGCUACAAUGGCCGGUACAACGGGAUGCGACACGGCGACGUGGAGCGGAUCCCUGAAAACCGGUCUCAGUUCGGAUUGGAGUCUGCAACCCGACUCCAUGAAGGCGGAGUCGCUAGUAAUCGCGGAUCAGCAACGCCGCGGUGAAUGCGUUCCCGGGCCUUGUACACACCGCCCGUCAAGUCAUGAAAGUGGGUAGCACCCGAAGCCGGUGGCCUAACCCUUUGUGGAUGGAGCCGUCUAAGGUGAGACUCGUGAUUGGGACUAAGUCGUAACAAGGUAGCC